AUUACUCCUACGGGAGGCAGCAGUGGGGAAUAUUGGACAAUGGGCGAAAGCCUGAUCCAGCCAUGCCGCGUGUGUGAAGAAGGUCUUCGGAUUGUAAAGCACUUUAAGUUGGGAGGAAGGGUACUUACCUAAUACGUGAGUAUUUUGACGUUACCGACAGAAUAAGCACCGGCUAACUCUGUGCCAGCAGCCGCGGUAAUAAU
rnacentral:rRNA from 1 species